GGAGUCUGGACCGUGUCUCAGUUCCAGUGUGGCUGAUCAUCCUCUUAGACCAGCUACCCAUCGUCGACUUGGUGAGCCAUUACCUCACCAACUAUCUAAUGGGACGCGAACUCAUCCUCAUGCAUACGGUCUUGCGAUCCCGUACUUUUCUCCACUCGCCCGGUUGGCGCGGAAGCUUAUCCGGUAUUAGCAGUCCUUUCGGUCUGUUAUCCCGGACAUAAGGGCAGAUUAUUCACGUGUUACUCACCCGUGCGCCACUUUACUCGGAGCCGAAGCCCCUUUCACGUACGACUUGCAUGUGUUAGGCCUGCCGCCAGCGUUCGUUCUGAGCCAGGAGUCAAACUCU
rnacentral:rRNA from 1 species